ensembl:lncRNA novel transcript
UGCCAGUGCUGACUGGAACAGGCCGGGCUCCUCACUCAGCGGCUCCUGCCUCAGCUGUGGUUCCCGCAGCCUCUGGGUCUCACGGAACCCUUCCUUGGGAGUUCCAUUUCUCAUGGCUUUGCUCAUCUUCCGGCUUCAGGCUCUGACUUCAUCUCAGGAUGGGAUCGGUGUGUGUCUGUUUUCAUAGAUCCACUACAUCAGAAGUAUCUUUACAUCUCUGUAUCUUUACAUCCCAAGGUCAAGGCCCUGGCAACCUCAGAGGUUCCCAUAGCUUCAGUCUUCCCCAAACCAUGCCACUUCCUCCCAUUUCUUUGGGUCAGGAAUCUGGCUUUUGUUUUCCAUAUUUCUUUUUCCCAAGACAUUGGGAGGCAUCUGGUGAACAACACCAAUAAAACAGUUCUCUCCCCACGGUCAUCCAGGUCACUUCUCUAACUCAUUCCUGCACACACAGCACACGUGGAAUUUGCCUGUUUAGUCUAUGUUCUUGACUUGAUCACAGACGCCUGUACAAUAAAGCCCCUUUUCAACAAGGUGCUGCAGAAUGAUAAUGCUUUCCCCAAAAUCUGAAACUGAUUUGUAUCAUUGAAGUUUUUUUCUGUAUUAAAAAUAAAGCAAAAUUAAAAAUAAA